GGGACCGUAGCUCAAUUGGUUAGAGUGUCGCCCUGUCAAGGCGAAGGUCGCGGGUUCGACUCCCGUCGGUCCCG
rnacentral:tRNA from 1 species